AAAGAUGAUGAAUAUG
rnacentral:sRNA from 1 species